rnacentral:tRNA from 1 species
AGGGCCGUAGGUUAACGGUAGACCAGAGCUCUCCAAAAGCUCUAGUGGGGGUUCGAUUCCCUCCGGCCCUGCUA